GAUGAACGCUGGCGGCGUGCCUAAUACAUGCAAGUCGAGCGAACAGACGAGGAGCUUGCUCCUCUGACGUUAGCGGCGGACGGGUGAGUAACACGUGGAUAACCUACCUAUAAGACUGGGAUAACUUCGGGAAACCGGAGCUAAUACCGGAUAAUAUAUUGAACCGCAUGGUUCAAUAGUGAAAGACGGUUUUGCUGUCACUUAUAGAUGUAUCCGCGCCGCAUUAGCUAGUUGGUAAGGUAACGGCUUACCAAGGCAACGAUGCGUAGCCGACCUGAGAGGGUGAUCGGCCACACUGGAACUGAGACACGGUCCAGACUCCUACGGGAGGCAGCAGUAGGGAAUCUUCCGCAAUGGGCGAAAGCCUGACGGAGCAACGCCGCGUGAGUGAUGAAGGUCUUCGGAUCGUAAAACUCUGUUAUUAGGGAAGAACAAAUGUGUAAGUAACUAUGCACGUCUUGACGGUACCUAAUCAGAAAGCCGCGGCUAACUACGUG
rnacentral:rRNA from 1 species